rnacentral:rRNA from 1 species
UACAGGGGGGGCAAGCGUUGUUCGGAAUUACUGGGCGUAAAGGGUUUGUAGGUGGCUUGCUAAGUCAGACGUGAAAUCCCUCAGCUUAACUGGGGAACUGCGUCUGAUACUGGCGAGCUUGAGUGCAGGAGAGGAACGCGGAAUUCCAGGUGUAGCGGUGAAAUGCGUAGAUAUCUGGAGGAACACCGGUGGCGAAGGCGGCAUCCUGGACCGGUAUUGACGCUGAGGCGCGAAAGCCAGGGGAGCAAACGGG